UAAGAAAAAAAUAAACCAAAAAAGUAAGUAAUUUUUCCUUUAUGAAGUCAGAAAUUUUUCCUUUAUGAAGUCAGAACUUAUAAUGGCAUCCCUUUCGGUGAUGUUCUAGAGACAACACCGAAGGGUGUGCCCUAGUCAUCAAUGAAAUGGGUUGAUAAUAAUGAGAUGUAAGGUUCAAUUCCUAGUGGAGGCAAAAACCACUAUACUCUCUCUACGGCUGACAUACACUCCAAUAGAUCAUAGGUCUGUUGAGAUAAAAUUUUUCAUUUUUUUAAAAAUGAAAUUUUUCAUGUGAUAAUGAUACCAUUCUUCAU
rnacentral:lncRNA from 1 species